rnacentral:tRNA from 1 species
GGCGGCGUGGCGCAAUAGAUAACGCGUCCGCCUACGAACCAGAAGAUUACAGGUUCGAAUCCUGCCGUGGUCG